GUAUAGAUUUUAUAGUCAAGCCGAAGCUGUAGACUGUAGCAUUCAUUUCAUAUGACAAGAGUUUAAAAGACAUAGGCAGGGAAAUCCCUAAAGCCUACGAAGAGUGCACAGAUGGGGUAGAUUGGAUGAAAGAGAAGAAGAGCCGGCGUGCACAUGUCUCGCGAAAGACCAGCAACAACCAAAACUCAACUCCAAGUAUUUCAUUAAUGAUCCUUCCGCAGGUUCACCUACGGAAA
rnacentral:misc_RNA from 1 species